rnacentral:rRNA from 1 species
UACGUAGGGUGCGAGCGUUGUCCGGAAUUAUUGGGCGUAAAGAGCUCGUAGGCGGUUUGUCGCGUCUGCUGUGAAAUCCCGAGGCUCAACCUCGGGCUUGCAGUGGGUACGGGCAGACUAGAGUGCGGUAGGGGAGAUUGGAAUUCCUGGUGUAGCGGUGGAAUGCGCAGAUAUCAGGAGGAACACCGAUGGCGAAGGCGGGAUCCUGGGCCAGUACUGACGCUGAGGAGCGAAAGCGUGGGGAGCAAACAGG